UACGUAGGGUGCAAGCGUUGUCCGGAAUUAUUGGGCGUAAAGAGCUUGUAGGCGGUUUGUCGCGUCUGCUGUGAAAUUUCGGGGCUUAACUCCGAAACUGCAUUCGAUACUGCGGUGCUUGAGGACUGGAGAGGAGACUGGAAUUCAUGGUGUAGCAGUGAAAUGCGUAGAGAUCAUGAGGAAGACCAGUGGCGAAGGCGGGUCUCUGGACAGUUCCUGACACUGAGACACGAAGGCCAGGGGAGCAAACGGG
rnacentral:rRNA from 1 species